AUUGAACGCUGGCGGCAGGCUUAACACAUGCAAGUCGAGCGGGGUGAUGGUGCUUGCACUAUCACUUAGCGGCGGACGGGUGAGUAAUGCUUAGGAAUCUGCCUAUUAGUGGGGGACAACAUCUCGAAAGGGAUGCUAAUACCGCACACGUCCUACGGGAGAAAGCAGGGGAUCACUUGUGACCUUGCGCUAAUAGAUGAGCCUAAGUCGGAUUAGCUAGUUGGUGGGGUAAAGGCCUACCAAGGCGACGAUCUGUAGCGGGUCUGAGAGGAUGAUCCGCCACACUGGGACUGAGACACGGCCCAGACUCCUACGGGAGGCAGCAGUGGGGAAUAUUGGACAAUGGGGGGAACCCUGAUCCAGCCGUGCCGCGUGUGUGAAGAAGGCCUUAUGGUUGUAAAGCACUUUAAGCGAGGAGGAGGCUCUUUUGGUUAAUACCCAAGAUGAGUGGACGUUACUCGCAGAAUAAGCACCGGCUAACUCUGUGCCAGCCGCCGCGGUAA
rnacentral:rRNA from 1 species